UCCUCAGUAGCUCAAUGGUAGAGCAAGCGGCUGUUAACCGCUAGGUUAUUGGUUCAAAUCCAUUCUGGGGAG
rnacentral:tRNA from 1 species